UACGUAGGGGGCAAGCGUUGUCCGGAUUUAUUGGGCGUAAAGAGCGUGUAGGCGGCUUUACAGGUCCGUUGUGAAAACUCGAGGCUUAACCUCGAGAUGUCAUCGGAAACCAUUUGGCUAGAGUCCGGAAGAGGAGAGUGGAAUUCCUGGUGUAGCGGUGAAAUGCGCAGAUAUCAGGAAGAACACCAAUGGCGAAAGCAGCUCUCUGGGACGGUACUGACGCUGAGACGCGAAAGCGUGGGGAGCGAACAGG
rnacentral:rRNA from 1 species